UUUUGUCUUCUUAUAU
rnacentral:sRNA from 1 species